rnacentral:rRNA from 1 species
GAUGAACGCUGGCGGCGUGCCUAAUACAUGCAAGUCGUACGAACAGCGGAAAGUGCUUGCACUUUCCAAGUAAGUGGCGAACGGGUGAGUAACACGUAGGUAACCUGGCAAUAAGACGAGGACAACUAUUGGAAACGAUAGCUAAUACUGGAUGUGGUGUGAGGAAGGCAUCUUCUUCAUAUUAAAGGAGCUACGGCUUCACUUAUUGAUGGACCUGCGGCGCAUUAGCUAGUUGGUAAGGUAGAGGCUUACCAAGGCAAUGAUGCGUAGCCGAUCUGAGAGGAUAAACGGCCACACUGGGACUGAGAUACGGCCCAGACUCCUACGGGAGGCAGCAGUAGGGAAUUUUCCACAAUGGACGGAAGUCUGAUGGAGCAACGCCGCGUGUGCGAAGAAGGUUUUCGGAUUGUAAAGCACUGUUGUAUAGGAAGAAUAAGGUAAACAGGGAAUGGUUUACUGAUGACGGUACUAUACGAGGAAGUCACGGCUAACUACGUGCCAGCCGCCGCAGUAACAC